GAUUAAGCCAUGCAUGUCUAAGUACAUACUAAAAUAAAGUUAAACCGCAUAAGGCUCAUUAUAUCAGUUAUGGUUUUUUAGAUCGUAUUCACAGUUACUUGGAUAACUGUGGUAAUUCUAGAGCUAAUACAUGCACUUAAGGGAAUUUUAACCGAUUCCUGCUUUUAUUAGAUAAAAACCAAUGGGGUUGACUUCGGUCUUCUCAAACAAAUGGUUGAACUCUGGAUAAUUUGUUGAUCGCAUGGUCUUCGUACCGGCGACGGAUCUUUCAAAUGUCUGCCCUAUCAACUAUUGAAGGUAGUGUCUUGGACUACCUUGGUUGCAACGGGUAACGGGGAAUCAGGGUUCGAUUCCGGAGAGGGAGCCUGAGAAACGGCUACCACAUCUAAGGAAGGCAGCAGGCGCGUAAAUUACCCACUCCCGGCACGGGGAGGUAGUGACGAAAAAUAACAAUACAAGACUCACAUCCGAGGCCUUGUAAUUGGAAUGAGUACACUUUAAAUCCUUUAACAAGGAUCAAUUGGAGGGCAAGUCUGGUGCCAGCAGCCGCGGUAAUUCCAGCUCCAAUAGCGUAUAUUAAAGUUGUUGCGGUUAAAACGUUCGUAGUUGAACUUGUGUUUCGCACAGGCAGUACCCACGACUAGUUUACUAGUAUGGUACUUUGUCUUUUCGCUCGUUUUGCGGGUGGAAUAAGUGCGUAAACGUAUUAUCGGCGUGUUCAUUUCGUUCGCGAAAUGUUCACUUAAGCUCAUUUCAGUGCUCUUCAUCGAGUGUUGUUGUGGGCCGAUACAAAUUACUUUGAACAAAUUAGAGUGCUUAAAGCAGGCUUGUAAUGCCUGAAUAUUUUGUGCAUGGAAUAAUGUAAUAGGACAUCUGUUCUACUUUCAUUGGUUUUUUAGAUCAAGAUGUAAUGAUUAAUGGAGGCAAUUGGGGGCAUUAGUAUUACAACGCGAGAGGUGAAAUUCUUAGACCGUAGUAAGACUAACUAAAGCGAAAGCAUUUGCCAAAGGUGUUUUCAUUUAAUCAAGAACGAAAGUUAGAGGUUCGAAGGCGAUCAGAUACCGCCCUAGUUCUAACCAUAAACGAUGUCAGCUAGCAAUUGGGUGGAGCUACUACUAUGGCUCUCUCAGGCGCUUCUCGGGAAACCAAAGCUUUUGGGCUCCGGGGGAAGUAUGGUUGCAAAGCUGAAACUUAAAGGAAUUGACGGAAGGGCACCACCAGGAGUGGAGCCUGCGGCUUAAUUUGACUCAACACGGGAAAACUUACCAGGUCCGAACAUAAAUGUGUAAGACAGAUUGAUAGCUCUUUCUCAAAUCUAUGGGUGGUGGUGCAUGGCCGUUCUUAGUUCGUGGAGUGAUUUGUCUGGUUAAUUCCGAUAACGAACGAGACUCAAAUAUAUUAAAUAGAUGCAUUCAGGAUUAUGGUGUUGAAGUUUAUAUGAUUGAUUUCAUCAUGUAAUGUGUUCGCAUGUUUGGGUGAAAUUAUAUUGUGUAAAUGGAGUCAUACCUGUUUGUUUGUCUAAAUAAAAAAUAGACACUUAGCUUCUUAAAUGGACAAAUUGUGUCUAACAAUAAUGAGAUUGAGCAAUAACAGGUCUGUGAUGCCCUUAGAUGUCCUGGGCUGCACGCGCGCUACAAUGAAGAUAUCAACGUGUAUUUCCUAGGCCUAAAGGUUCGGGUAAACCGUUGAACCAUCUUCUUGCUUGGGAUUGUGGACUGAAACUGUUCACAUGAACCUGGAAUUCCCAGUAAGUGUGAGUCAUUAACUCGCAUUGAUUACGUCCCUGCCCUUUGUACACACCGCCCGUCGCUACUACCGAUUGAAUUAUUUAGUGAGGUCUCCGGACGUGAUCGCUGUGACGCCUCGUUGUGUUGCAGAUUGUUUCACAAAAGUUGACCGAACUUGGUUAUUUAGAGGAAGUAAAAGUCGUAACAAGGUUUC
rnacentral:rRNA from 1 species